CGGCCGGGCCGCAUCCCGCAGGCACCGAGCAGUGAAAGCAUCCAUCGCCGCGGGGAAACGUGCUGGAGCCGGGGAAGAAAGGGAGCGCAUCUUUGUGCGGGUAGCCAGGUGCUGCCUUCAUUACCAAGUUUUUGAAGAUUGAUCAAAGAAAAACCUAGAGGUUCUAAGAUUAUCAAAGGUGAAUUUUGACAUGCUCUAGCCUAAAUUUCAUGAGCCCCAAAUACAGCUAUGAUACACGCCA